rnacentral:rRNA from 1 species
CUAUGCGCCUUGCCAGCCCGCUCAGGUGUGCCAGCCGCCGCGGUAAUACGGAGGAUGCGAGCGUUAUCCGGAUUUAUUGGGUUUAAAGGGUGCGCAGGCGGAUUUUUAAGUCAGCGGUCAAAUCGUGGGGCUCAACCCCAUCCAGCCGUUGAAACUGGGGAUCUAGAGUGUGCGAGAGGUAUGCGGAAUGCGUGGUGUAGCGGUGAAAUGCAUAGAUAUCACGCAGAACUCCGAUUGCGAAGGCAGCAUACCGGCGCCCUACUGACGCUGAGGCACGAAAGCGUGGGUAUCGAACAGG